GAUGAACGCUGGCGGCGUGCUUAACACAUGCAAGUCGAACGAAGCAUUUGCGACAGAUUUUUUCGGAAUGAAGUUGCUUAUGACUGAGUGGCGGACGGGUGAGUAACGCGUGGGUAACCUGCCUUGUACUGGGGGAUAGCAGCUGGAAACGGCUGGUAAUACCGCAUAAGCGCACAAUGUUGCAUGACAUGGUGUGAAAAACUCCGGUGGUAUAAGAUGGACCCGCGUCUGAUUAGCUAGUUGGUGAGAUAACAGCCCACCAAGGCGACGAUCAGUAGCCGACCUGAGAGGGUGACCGGCCACAUUGGGACGGAGCCACGGCCCAGACUACUACGGGAGGCAGGAGUGGGGAAUAUUGCAAAAUGGAGGAAACUCUGAUGCAGCGACGCCGCGUGAGUGAAGAAGUAAGUCGUUAUGUAAAGCUCUAUAAGCAGGGAAGAUAGUGACGGUACCUGAAGAAGAAGCACCGGCUAAAUACGUG
rnacentral:rRNA from 1 species